rnacentral:rRNA from 11 species
GCCUGGUUCUAAACGUCCUAAAGCCAUCAGAUCCUGUCUGAUCUUGGAAGGUUAAGUAGGGUCUCCCUGGUUAUUGUUUGGAUGGGAGACUGCCAACAAAUCCCAGGUGCUUCAGGCU